rnacentral:rRNA from 1 species
GACGAACGCUGGCGGCGUGCCUAAUACAUGCAAGUAGAACGCUGCAGGCGGAGCUUGCUUCUCUGGAGGAGUUGCGAACGGGUGAGUAACCCGUAGGUAACCUGCCUGGUAGCGGGGGAUAACUAUUGGAAACGAUAGCUAAUACCGCAUAAUAGUAGAUGUUGCAUGACAUUUGCUUAAAAGGUGCAAUUGCAUCACUACCAGAUGGCCCUGCGUUGUAUUAGCUAGUUGGUGGGGUAACGGCUCACCAAGGCGACGAAACAUAGCCGACAUGAGAGGGUGGUCGGCAAAACUGGGAGUGAGAAACGGCCCAGAGCCCUACGGGAGGGAGCAGGAGGGAAUCCUCGGGAAUGGAAGGAAGUCUGACCGAUCGACGCCGGGUGAGUGAAGAAGGUUGUAGGAUCGGAAAGGUCAGUUGGAAGAGAAGAACGAGUGUGAGAGUGGAAAGUGCACAUAGUGACAGUAUCUGACCAGAAAGCUACGGCUAACUACGUG